CUGCGCUUCUGCGCGGCCAACCGUCGUGGAGUUGUCUUUUCACUCUUCCUCCCGUUUGCAUUGCUGUUGCGGUUGAGGAAUGCGUUGUCGGUUGCCUGUGUUGUUCUACCCAUGCGGGGAAUACGGAAAUUUUCAUGAUGGAUGUUUGCUUGCACCGUUGAUAUUUUUAUCGUCGGCGCAGUCGAUUGGUUGGCUAAAUCCUUGUGCCGCAGCGGGUCAAUAAUGCCUCGAUACUCGGCACUUGGAUUUUACCGGCUCUCGCGGAUGCCGUGUCCAUCGAGGAAUCUGUUGGCCUCUGGCCAUUUGAUUUCCUCGGGAGGUCCCAUGUACGGAUUUUUGCUCUGCCGCUCUGCUAUCUCGUCUCCGGAAUGAUGGGAUGUGUGAGCGGUGCGUGCCCCCGUGCAUGCGAGAUGUUUGCCCGAUUGAUUGAAUGAGCGACUGCCGGUUCUCGUCGUGUGGGCGACUCCUAUUCAUUUAGAUUUUCCCGCCAU
rnacentral:misc_RNA from 1 species